rnacentral:rRNA from 1 species
UACGUAGGGUGCAAGCGUUGUCCGGAAUUAUUGGGCGUAAAGAGCUCGUAGGCGGUCUGUCGCGUCUGCUGUGAAAACUCGGGGCUUAACCCCGGGCCUGCAGUGGGUACGGGGCAGACUAGAGUGCGGUAGGGGGAGACUGGAAUUCCUGGUGUAGCGGUGAAUGCGCGAUAUCAGGAGGAACACCGAUGCGAAGGCAGGUCUCUGG